GAUGGUUGGUAAUCAUCAGCGCGAGAUUCAAAUAAGCGUGCGUUUAAAUUCUGGCAGCGGUUUGGAAUGUAAAAUAUUUGAACACUGGUACUGGUAAGUAUUCUGGAUGGUUGCGGCUAUGAAUUAAUGAUGUGGUUUCGUUUCGAGUUGUAUUAGCAUAUUAGCUAUUUGCGAUAAUUCAGUUGGCGUCAAGAUUGGUCGAAGAAAGUGGCACAGUUCUUGGCAAUAUGCGUACGGUGAUCAUACAGUUUUGCAGAUUUUGUUGUUGUUCUUCGCCAGUGGUGAGAUCGCCAAGCGCUCACCCCUCCAAGUGGGUUUAGUGACAUUCACCGAGAAACCGCAUCUUUUGCACAAUGUAUCGCACAAGACAGGAAUUUCCCCAGUGAUCAUGGGAGCACAUAGCCACAAAUGGAUACCGGGACACGUGCGUCACCACUCUUACAUCCCGGCUCAUUUACACCAUCUUUACCUUCCCACACAGGCCCUUCUUCUGGCACGAACGGUGGAGACGGUCUUUGUUCAUCCUGCUGUCUACAGUCCGUACAGGCACCAUUUAGGCGGGUUUGGGAUUGGGCUCGACGUGGGAGGACAAGGAGCUGGACAUGGAUUUCAUGUCGUUCUUGAUUUUUAGAGAUUUAGUUCUUAGGUCUAUUUAUUUAUUUAUUUAUUUAUUUCUAUUCUAGGAAAAUGAUAAUAAAUGGAGUAAUUUUGUA